rnacentral:rRNA from 1 species
UUGGAGGGCAAGUCUGGUGCCAGCAGCCGCGGUAAUUCCAGCUCCAAUAGCGUAUAUUAAAGUUGUUGCAGUUAAAAAGCUCGUAGUUGAAUUUCGGGGUCAGCAGGUUGGUCGUGCCUCUGGUACGCACUGGUUUCGCUGAUUCCUCCUUUCUGAAGAACUGUAAUGUCAUUAAUUUGGUGUUGCAGGGAAACAGGACUGUUACUUUGAAAAAAUUAGAGUGUUUAAAGCAAGCUAACGCUUGAAUACAUUAGCAUGGAAUAAUGAAAUAGGACGUUUGAUCCUAUUUUGUUGGUUUCUAGGAUUGACGUAAUGAUUAAUAGGGAUAGUUGGGGGCAUUAGUAUUCAAUUGUCAGAGGUGAAAUUCUUGGAUUUAUUGAAGACUAACUACUGCGAAAGCAUUUGCCAAGGAUGUUUUCAUUAAUCAAGAACGAAAGUUAGGGGAUCGAAGACGAUCAGAUACCGUCGUAGUCUUAACCAUAAACUAUGCCGACUAGGGAUCGGAUGAUGUUAAUUUUUUAAUGACUCAUUCGGCGCCUUACGGGAAA